AUUCUUUUAGUAUACCUAGUACAACUGACUUCCAAUCAGUUAGUCUUGAAUAAUUCAAGAAAGAAUA
rnacentral:tRNA from 1 species